AACGAACGCUGGCGGCAUGCCUAACACAUGCAAGUCGAACGAAGCCUUCGGGCUUAGUGGCGCACGGGUGCGUAACGCGCGGGAAUCUGCCCUCGGGUUCGGAAUAACAGUUAGAAAUGACUGCUAAUACCGGCUGAUGUCUUCGGACCAAAGAUUUAUCGCCCAAGGAUGAGCCCGCGUAGGAUUAGGCAGUUGGUGGGGUAAUGGCCCACCAAGCCGACGAUCCUUAGCUGUUCUGAGAGGAUGAUCAGCCACACUGGGACUGAGACACGGCCCAGACUCCUACGGGAGGCAGCAGUGGGGAAUAUUGGACAAUGGGCGAAAGCCUGAUCCAGCAAUGCCGCGUGAGUGAUGAAGGCCUUAGGGUUGUAAAGCUCUUUUACCAGGGAUGAUAAUGACAGUACCUGGAGAAUAAGCUCCGGCUAACUCCGUGCCAGCCGCCGCAGUAAUAC
rnacentral:rRNA from 1 species